AGUGAACGCUGGCGGUAGGCCUAACACAUGCAAGUCGAACGGCAGCACAGUAAGAGCUUGCUCUUACGGGUGGCGAGUGGCGGACGGGUGAGGAAUACAUCGGAAUCUACUUUUUCGUGGGGGAUAACGUAGGGAAACUUACGCUAAUACCGCAUGCGACCUACGGGUGAAAGCAGGGGAUCUUCGGACCUUGCGCGAUUGAAUGAGCCGAUGUCGGAUUAGCUAGUUGGCGGGGUAAAGGCCCACCAAGGCGACGAUCCGUAGCUGGUCUGAGAGGAUGAUCAGCCAUAAUGGAACUGAGACACGGUCCAGAAUCCUACGGGAGGGAGCAGUGGGGAAUGUUGGAAAAAGGACGCAAGCCUGAACCAGCCAUACCGCGUGGGUGAAGAAGGCCUUCGGGUUGUAAAGCCCUUUUGUUGGGAAAGAAAAGCAGCAGGUGAAUACCCCGCUGUUCUGACGGUACCCAAAGAAUAAGCACCGGCUAACUUCGUG
rnacentral:rRNA from 1 species